rnacentral:rRNA from 1 species
GAAUUGACCUCGGAUCAGGGUAGGGAUACCCGCUGAACUUAAGCAUAUCAAUAAGCGGAGGACAAGAAACCAACGGGGAUUGCCUCAGUAACGGCGAGUGAAGCG